GACGAACGCUGGCGGCGUGCUUAACACAUGCAAGUCGAACGAGAAUUCUUUUCAAAGAAGCUUCGGUGGAAAUGAGAAGAAGGAAAGUGGCGAACGGGUGAGUAACGCGUGAGCAACCUACCUUAUACAAAGGGAUAGCCUCGGGAAACCGGGAUUAAUACCAUAUGAGACUCCAAUAACGAGUGUUAAAGAAGUUAAAGAUUUAUCGGUAUAAGAUGGGCUCGCGUCUGAUUAGCUAGUUGGUGGGAUAAAAGCCCACCAAGGCGACGAUCAGUAACCGGCUUGAGAGAGUGAACGGUCACAUUGGAACUGAGACACGGUCCAAACUCCUACGGGAGGCAGCAGUGGGGAAUAUUGCACAAUGGGGGAAACCCUGAUGCAGCGACGCCGCGUGAGCGAUGAAGGUUUUCGAAUCGUAAAGCUCUGUCCUUGGAGAAGAUAAUGACGGUAUCCAAGGAGGAAGCACCGGCUAAAUACGUGCCAGCCGCCGCUGUAACAC
rnacentral:rRNA from 1 species